GCGGGGGUUCCCAGCCGCGCUGCAGGCGGCGGGCCCGGGGCACUGCCUGCAGCUUGUCAGCUUCUCACGGCCUUGUGUUUGCAUUGGAGGCCCCGGUGGGUCCACGACGGCGAAAAUGGCCCGGAGCCUGCCAGGUCUUGAGAGCUCUGCAAAAAGGAGGAAGCUGUCGAAUUCUCACCAGGAAUUGUUCACAAAGCAGGAGGCCAUCAUUGUAACUGCCCGGAAAAACCUCACCUCUCUGAAAUAAAUGCUGGCAGCCAUUAAAGAUCCAUUUAAGAAAAACACGAAUUCCUGGAAUCUCAAGGGCAGAAGAGAAGGGAGAGGAUCCCUCCCUCUUUUUGCUGCUUCUAUGGGUCAGACUUUUUGGAAGCUCCUUACAAGCUCCAUGAGGUCAUGACCUGACGUCUUGUUCCACCGCCAAGUCCCCUACCCCUAAACUGUGUCACCCAUAGUAGAUGCUCAAUACAUGUUUGUUGAUUGACUAAA